UGGAGAGUUUGAUCCUGGCUCAGAUUGAACGCUGGCGGCAUGCUUUACACAUGCAAGUCGAACGGUAACAGGGUGCUUGCACCGCUGACGAGUGGCGAACGGGUGAGUAACGCAUCGGAAUGUACCGUGUAAUGGGGGAUAGCUCGGCGAAAGCCGGAUUAAUACCGCAUACGCCCUGAGGGGGAAAGUGGGGGACCGUAAGGCCUCACGUUAUACGAGCAGCCGAUGUCUGAUUAGCUAGUUGGUGAGGUAAGAGCUCACCAAGGCGACGAUCAGUAGCGGGUCUGAGAGGAUGAUCCGCCACACUGGGACUGAGACACGGCCCAGACUCCUACGGGAGGCAGCAGUGGGGAAUUUUGGACAAUGGGCGCAAGCCUGAUCCAGCCAUGCCGCGUGUCUGAAGAAGGCCUUCGGGUUGUAAAGGACUUUUGUUCGGGAGGAAAUCCCGCUGGUUAAUACCUGGCGGGGAUGACAGUACCGGAAGAAUAAGCACCGGCUAACUACGUGCCAGCAGCCGCGGUA
rnacentral:rRNA from 4 species